CCCAGACAGGUAUAAAUUUGAAAAAUGAGAAUACCUGCGGUAGAUCCCAACAGGUACUUUUAGAACCUGAGUGGUAGAGCCCAGACAAGUAUGAAUUUUGAAAACUGAGAAUUCCUGCGGUAGAUCCCAACAGGUACUAUUAGAACCUGACUGGUAGAGCCCAGACGGGUAUAAAUUUGAAAAAAAGAGAAUUCCUGCGGUAGAUCCCAACAGGUACAAAAACUAACUUAAUUAUCACCCUUAAAUAAAACAAAGCCUUAAUAAUUUAUAAGAUGUAUUAAUGAAUUGGGGGAAAAUAAUUUCCCUGAAAUUAAGUAGGCCAAAUUGAACGAGUAGCAUGAGUGAAAGCCCCCAAGAAAUGAUACAUGUACAUAUAAGUAAAAAAUAA